rnacentral:rRNA from 1 species
ACUCAAAUGAAUUGACGGGAGCCCGCACAAGCGGUGGAUUAUGUGGUUUAAUUCGAAGCAACGCGCAGAACCUUACCUAGGUUUGACAUCCUUUGACAACCGUAGAGAUACGGCUUUCGUAGCAAUACGACAGAGAGACAGGUGCUGCAUGGCUGUCGUCAGCUCGUGUGGUGGCAUGUCGGGUUAAGUCCCUCAACGAGCGCAACCCCUGUGUUUAGUUGCCAGCAUUAAGUUGGGCACUCUAGACAGACUGCCGUGGUUAACACGGAGGAAGGCGGGGAUGACGUCAAGUCCUCAUGGCCCUUACACCUAGGGCGACACACGUAAUACAAUGGCUAGUACAAAGGGAUGCGAAAGAGCGAUCUGGAGCAAAUCUCAAAAAGCUAGUCUCAGUUCGGAUUAGAGUCUGCAACUCGACUCUAUGAAGGCGGAAUCGCUAGUAAUCGCGGAUCAGCACGCCGCGGUGAAUACGUUCCCGGGCUUUGUACACACCGCCCGU